UACGAAGGGGGCUAGCGUUGUUCGGAAUUACUGGGCGUAAAGCGCACGUAGGCGGACAUUUAAGUCAGGGGUGAAAUCCUGGAGCUCAACUCCAGAACUGCCUUUGAUACUGGAGAGCUUGAGUCCGGAAGAGGUGAGUGGAACUCCGAGUGUAGAGGUGAAAUUCGUAGAUAUUCGGAAGAACACCAGUGGCGAAGGGCGGCUCACUGGUCCGGUACUGACGCUGAGGAGCGAAAGCGUGGGGAGCGAACAGG
rnacentral:rRNA from 1 species